rnacentral:rRNA from 1 species
AGACCCGAAACCCGGUGAUCUAGCCAUGGGCAGGUUGAAGGUUGGGUAACACUAACUGGAGGACCGAACCGACUAAUGUUGAAAAAUUAGCGGAUGACCUGUGGCUGGGGGUGAAAGGCCAAUCAAACCGGGAGAUAGCUGGUUCUCCCCGAAAGCUAUUUAGGUAGCGCCUCGUGAAUUCAUCUCCGGGGGUAGAGCACUGUUUCGGCUAGGGGGCCAUCCCGGCUUACCAACCCGAUGCAAACUGCGAAUACCGGAGAAUGUUAUCACGGGAGACACACGGCGGGUGCUAACGUCCGUCGUGAAGAGGGAAACAACCCAGACCGCCAGCUAAGGUCCCAAAGUCAUGGUUAAGUGGGAAACGAUGUGGGAAGGCCCAGACAGCCAGGAUGUUGGCUUAGAAGCAGCCAUCAUUUAAAGAAAGCGUAAUAGCUCACUGGUCGAGUCGGCCUGCGCGGAAGAUGUAACGGGGCUAAACCAUGCACCGAAGCUGCGGCAGCGAACGUA